UCCAGACUCCUACGGGAGGCAGCAGUGGGGAAUAUUGGGCAAUGGGCGCAAGCCUGACCCAGCAACGCCGCGUGAAGGAAGAAGGCUUUCGGGUUGUAAACUUCUUUUGACAGGGAAGAGCAGAAGACGGUACCUGUCGAAUAAGCCACGGCUAACUACGUGCCAGCAGCCGCGGUAAUACGUAGGUGGCAAGCGUUGUCCGGAUUUACUGGGUGUAAAGGGCGUGUAGCCGGGCUGACAAGUCAGAUGUGAAAUCCGGGGGCUCAACCCCCGAACUGCAUUUGAAACUGUUGGUCUUGAGUAUCGGAGAGGCAGGCGGAAUUCCUAGUGUAGCGGUGAAAUGCGUAGAUAUUAGGAGGAACACCGGCGGCGAAGGCGGCCUGCUGGACCGUGACUGACGUUGAGGCUCGAGAGCGUGGGGAGCAAACAGGAUUAGAUACCCGGGUAGGC
rnacentral:rRNA from 1 species